ACCCAUGGCUAUACCACCCUGAACAUGCCUGAUUUUGGAAGCUACACAGGGUUGGCCCUGGUAAAUAUAGUAUUUGGGUGGGAGACCUCCCAUGAAAUGCUAGGUGCUGUAAGGU
rfam:Heterocephalus glaber contig62305, whole genome shotgun sequence.